UACGUAGGGCGCAAGCGUUGUCCGGAAUUAUUGGGCGUAAAGAGCUCGUAGGCGGCCUGUUGCGUCCGCUGUGAAAUCCCGGGGCUCAACCCCGGGCCUGCAGUGGAUACGGGCUGGCUAGAGGCAGGCAGGGGAGAACGGAAUUCCUGGUGUAGCGGUGAAAUGCGUAGAUAUUGGGAGGAACACCAGUGGCGAAGGCGGCUCACUGGACUGGUACUGACGCUGAGGCGCGAAAGCGUGGGGAGCAAACGGGG
rnacentral:rRNA from 1 species